rnacentral:rRNA from 1 species
GUCCACGCCGUAAACUAUGGACACUAGAUGGGUGGCGAGCUAUCGCUGCCUGUCGGAGGAAAUUUGGUAAGUGUCCCGCCUGGGAAGUAUGGUCGCAAGGCUGAAACUCAAAGGAAUUGACGGGGGCUCACACAAGCGGUGGAGGAUGUGGUUUAAUUCGAAGCAACGCGCAGAACCUUACCAGGUCUUGACAUACCGGGAUUAUUUGCCUGAAAGGUGAAAAUUCUCAGCAAUGAGGUAACCGGAACAGGUGCUGCAUGGCUGUCGU